CACGAGAGGGAGAGAGCUGGGAGCUCUGACCCGGACGCCACCGACCCGAGAAGGAGACCCGGCCGCCGCGCCACCGUCCGGCCACCGAUCGCUGACGGACGACCACCAUCUGCUUCAUCUCCGCGUCGCCUACCUCCCUACAUCCUCAGAUCGCCCAUGCACCGGACGAGGAGGGAGACUCGACAGUGAGAAGCAGCGACUGCGCCGGCGAGUUUCUGCAAUUUCCGGCCACCGCUUGGGCUGCAUUCGCCACGGCUUCGCCGUGUUCUUCGACUCCGACGACGUUUCCGGCACUUCUGGGCUUAGCUUCUGGUUGGAAUGCGUCUGUAUACGAAGGCAGACCUUGUUUAGGUAUUGAAGUACGAGAAUUGCUGGUUGAGUGGCCAUCAGGUCGAACUCCGUCACCGGUCGAGUUUCGAAAGUAGGCUGGACGGAGUUGAUCAACUCGGCGUCGACUAGGCUAUCUCCAGCAACUGUGUUCUCCGCCCUGAGGUCUCACCUGCAUGUCGACUACUGAAGGUAAAAUCGAAGUCUGCUCUGUGGUACUUGUGACAGUUUGGAUGAAUUAUGGUGUUGGAAGUGAAAUUGAAGUUCGAAUGCAUGUGUGGAUCGGGUGUUUGAGUCUUGGAUUAAAUUGGUUGAGUUGCAUAUUGAGAAAUUGAUCUGGAUUGUGGAAUAGAUAUUGUGGGUACAUGAGGUUCCUGUGAAAAUUGAUGAUUAGUGAUGAACGAGUAAAUUGUAUUGUUGUUACGAUUGAGUUGUGGUGUUUUGAAUUGAAUGAAUUGUUGUGUUGUGGUUGAGAUUGA